UAAUACGUAGGUGGCGAGCGUUGUCCGGAUUUACUGGGCGUAAAGCGCGCGUAGGUGGUCUUGUUAGUCCUGUCGUGAAAGGUUGUGGCCCAACUGCAACAGUGCGGAGGAUACUGCAAGACUUGAGGGCAGCAGAGGUCGGUGGAAUUCCCGGUGGAGUGGUGAAAUGCGUAGAUAUCGGGAGGAACACCAGAGGCGAAGGCGGCCGACUGGGCUGUACCUGACGCUGAGGCGCGAAAGCGUGGGGAGCGAACCGGAUUAGAUACCCGGGUAGUCCACGCCCUAAACGGUGGCAACUAGGUGUGGGGGGUAUCGACCCCCUCCGUGCCGCAGCUAACGCGUUAAGUUGCCCGCCUGGGGACUACGGCCGCAAGGUUA
rnacentral:rRNA from 1 species